GGAGUAGAAUACUUUUGGGUGAAUCUGGAGAUGAAAAUGAGUGGAUGUAUGUGGAUGCGUACUUCCGGAGUAGAAGCAGCAUGUGUGAGUGAACGUGCAAGUGAAUCUUGAUUUUAACCGCAUGACAAGCUCCUAAGGGUCUACACAGCUUGACCACACUCAAUGCUCAUAAGCAGUAAAAAGUAAAUGUGUGGCUCAGAGUCUAAUAAGCAUGUAUAUAUGGCAUCAUGUGUUAUUUUAAAGAUUUUUCAAAGAUAAAAUUCUCCAGAAUUCUAGCAUCUCUAGGAACAGAUCAACAGCAGCUCAACCUUCCCAUAUCAUAUCUGUUAACGACUUAGACUUCAGAUCAAGUACUCUUCCCACAAGUUUAGGUUUAGAGCAGAUUUAAAUUAUAAGUUAUGCCUAAACUUGAGAGAGAUUUCAAUUUUAUGAACUAGUCAUGGCAGAGCAACUAUUCAGCAUUUCCAUGUGAGAGCUUAUCCUUUAAGUUCAGUUUGGCCUAGACACUUUUUUUAUUUAUUUAGCAAACUAAGCAAAGAUAUAUAUAAGCACAAAAUUUUUAUUUGGGUUUUCAUGAUUAUGCAUCUUUUUAUUAUUUGAGUAAAGUAUAAACGCAAGUAGAAACACUUAGCUGGAUAAAUGGGGGUGCUCUCCCCCAAGCUGGAUUUUGACGUAAUUUCUUCUGAUGUAGCUAGCAGGUGGUGGAGGUGUAUUUGAAAGUCGGCAGCAUCCUGACAGCGAUUAGGAUGUCCUCCAUCUGCUAGUCUUCUUUGAUCCUUGAAUUCUGUGGAGCUCAAAUAGACAACAAAGCUUUGUGGAACUGGUUAAGUUUUAGCAUAAAUAUCUAGCCUUUAUCAUGUUGAGCCUCCUCAAUAAAUGUUUUUUAUUUAGCAGGAUCAUGCACUUGUUAUUUUUAUAUUUUUAUUGUAAGAUGAAAACUUAUUUAUUUUAUUUUUAUGCCACUACAGUGAAUGUACUUAUGGGUUUUAUGCCAUGAGCAUACUCACAUGGGGCUUACUAUUUUUUAACAUUUUUAUUUUCUUUUCGAGAUGAUAUGAACCUGAUUAACUAAGCAAACUAUUUUAAAUAGUUGAAAGGAAAAAGGAUAACUACCAAGUUUACCUCUUGGCAAGGCGUUCGGUGUUUUUAAUUCCUCCGAACCGGACUUUCCGUUUUCUGAGUCGUCCUGGGAUUCGCUGGAUGGCGUAGUCGGUGGUUCCGGCGAUGCCUCCUCUUCGUGUAUAACUAUCUUCUCUCUCCACACCUGACUCGGUGCUACGGUCUCCUCAGGACAGUUCUGUUCAAGUUGUAUGUCUUCAGACCUUAACACUUCCCCUUCAUAGUCUGCCCAUCCGUCCUUGAUGAUUUGCCUCCUCUGGUUGCGUCGUCUUCUUCUUGUCCUGACCUACUUAGAGUCUUCAACUAUAUAGUUAUGGUCAGUAAAAUAGUGACGUACCUUCUCAGAGGGGAAGUGCAUGUGGACUUCUCCGGUUCCAAUGUAGAUGAUAGCUUUGAUAGUGUUGAGGAAUGGUCUUCCAAGGAUGAUGGGUGGAUCGUACUCGUAUUUUCUCAUGUCAAUGACCUAAAAAUCAUCUGGAGCUGAAUGUAUGUUGGUUGUAGGGGCAUGGUUCCAUGCAGGAGCUGAUAAGUGACUGCGGCCAUUAUGUUGUCAUCAGAUCCGGUGUCGUAGAGUGUCUUCUAAAAAGAGUAUCUAUUGAUUGUGCAUUCGAUGCUUGGAACACUAGGGUCGUCCUUCUUGAUCUUGAGUCGACGAUCUUGACCUCCUCCGACAAGGAUCCAAUGUUUGAAGUCUUCUGGACAAGACUUCUCACUGUCUUCAUCCUUUAGGUGCAUCAUUUGAUUAGGUGUGGACCUUGACGCCUGCACCUCUUGAUACGGAGUCACCCAUGUUCUUCGUUUGCCCAGCAGUUCGAAGUGCGGUGUUGGCAAUAUCCUGCUCAGUGUGUUUGUGCUCGUAGAUCCAGAUCCUUCACUUGGUGGAAUCUCGGAGUUGUAAAACUCCUCCAUGUUUUGCUCGAAGUGUACCUGUUCAUAGAGACAAGGCAGAGAUCAAGUGCAUGGGCCCUGUUGGUGAAAAACACCAACAGAACCAAGAGUGUAUUUGUUCUUCUCUAACCUUAAGCAUAGUGAACAAGACAAAGUUGAUGGAUCAUGAGUGUAGCAUUUGUCAGAUUAGAUGGCUCAACCUAAUAGAAAGAUAAUCUAUCUAUAUUUAUGUUUUGUUUAUAUCUUCCAAAGAUUGAAUUUGCAACAUAUUAGCUUAUAUGAUUAGGAGUGUGGGAUCACGAAGGUAGUACUAAGAACAA
rnacentral:lncRNA from 1 species